UACGUAGGGGGCGAGCGUUGUCCGGAGUUACUGGGCGUAAAGCGCACGCAGGCGGUCUGUUAAGUUUGGACGUGACGAGUUGGUGGCUCAACCACCAAAGUGCUUUGAAAACUGAUAGACUUGAGGGCUUCAGAGGGACACGGAAUUCCGGGUGGAGUGGUGAAAUGCGUAGAGAUCCGGAGGAACACCAAAGGCGAAGGCAGUGUCCUGGGGAGUACCUG
rnacentral:rRNA from 1 species